rnacentral:rRNA from 1 species
CGCGUAGGUGGUAGUGUAAGUCUGGGGUGGAAUGCCGGGGCUUAACCUUGGAAUGGCCUUGGAAACUGCAUUACUUGAGUCAGUGAGGGGAGGGUAGAAUUCCUGGUGUAGCGGUGAAAUGCGUAGAUAUCAGGAGGAAGGCCUGUGGCGAAGGCGGCCCUCUGGUGCUGGACUGACACUGAGGCGCGAAAGCGUGGGGAGCAAACAGGAUUAGAUACCCUGGUAGUCCACGCCCUAAACGGUGGGCACUAGGUGUAGGGCUCGUAAGGGUUCUGUGCCGCAGGGAAACCAUUAAGUGCCCCGCCUGGGGAGUACGGCCGCAAGGUUGAA